AUUCCGUACACUGUGCUCGUAACCUUCAAAAGUGCGAGCACUGUGGAGAAAUUGUUCCCAGGAAGCUUAUGGAAGAACACUACAAUGAAAAUCACGCUCCGGUAUGUUUGCAUUCUGAUUCUAAAUGCACGUUUUAAGUUUUGUAGUCUGAUACUAAAUGCCAUGUUUUGAGUUUUCAGAAGAUCAUGCCUAAUGUUGGUUUUCGUUGUGUUUUUCAGAAGAUUAUGCCUAAUGUUGGUUCUCGUUUUUUUUUCCAGAAGAUUAUGCCAUAAUGUUGGUUCUCGUUGUGUUUUUUAGAAGAUUAUGCCUAAUGU
rnacentral:lncRNA from 1 species